CCGCCAUACCAGCAUUGGUAGGUGACGUAUCCGUCAACAACGAGGCGCCUGCGGUGACUUCGUCAAUCUCUCAAGAUCUGCCGGCUUAGCCUUUCGGAGGUGCUCAUAGGGGUAGGUCGUGCGUGGGUGCAUUCAUGGGGGUAAGUGUAUGCGUGUGUGUGAGCGUCUGCGUUUGUAUUGUGUUCUAAAAAAAGCGUGUAGAUAAAUGUAAUAUUUCGACAACUAAUAUGGAUCGGAAGGAGUAGGAGUAUUUGGUUUCCAUGUGUGCUGUAUUUAGUUUUCUCGUCUUAAUGAAAACCAAAUGUAUACACUUAUUUUAUAUUUACCACUCGCGCCUUCUGUAUGGUUGGUCAUAAGAAAUUUUUGAGUCCGGACAACAGGCUCCAUUCCCACUCCAUCGAUCCCUUCCAGGAGUAUAAACGAUUAGUGAAAUUAGUCAUUACGCACGUAAUGGCUUCUCCACAAGCACCUCUACUCUGUCUCUUGCUUCGCUGAUAUUCCCGCUCCUCCUCUUCCUGCUACACCAGAAUUACUCAAGACCGAGUGGUCGCAAGCAAGCGCCGGACCUGGACGUCGAUCAUGACCGGCUCCGCCAUCUCCCUACUUCGCCUCUGGGGCUCAUCCUCACUGGCCACCUGCACCUUGUCGGCUCCUCCCCGACGUCUCCCUCGCCCGGCGCGCGCCUCGCGCCGCCAAGUACGGCCGCGGCCUCCCGCUCCUCCGCUACGGCCAGGUGCCCUGGUGCGCAACCUCGUCAUCUCCACCCCUCGCGCCGCUAAGGCCAUCCUCCGCACGCACGACAACCUCUUCGCCUCCCGCAUGCCCAACGCUCUCCUCGGCGGCGACGUCGACGUUGCCUUUGUGCCCUAUGGCGAGUACUGGAGCCGGGCGAGGCGGCUCGUCACCACGCACCUGCUCACCGCCGCCAAGGUCCACUCCCCCUUCCUCCGCCGCGGCGCCGUGUAGGACGGCAGAUGAGGUGUCUAGGGAGGAAGGCCGUGGCCGAUGCGGCGUCUCUGCGGAGGGCAACGGACUAUGGGGGAGGCGGGGCAGUUUAGGCCGCGGGAGGGAGGCGGCCGCUGGUCUUGGCCUCCUGGGGAUUCGGAACGGUAGAAAAAAGAGGGGAGAGGUGCCUGCGUUCGAUCGAGAGGAGGAGGGAGGACCCACAUGUAAGGCCGACGGACGAAAUUAGAGUUGGAGACUCGGCCGGGGCGACAGGUGAGACGGACAAUGACGAAUGACGAAGGAAACGUUACUUGCUUUAUUAGGUGUAGAUGUAUGUAUGUAGACUCGUAUAAUGUUUCUUUCAAUGUUUCAAUUUGUUAUAUUUGUAUUUUUUUUUCUAAUUGACAAAAAUAGUAGUUUUUUUACUUGUUUUUGGUGAUAUAGAUCUUCUGCAUGAGAAAGACUGAAUUUUCUGAAUUAUCAGUGUCAAUAUAUGGUUUAGCAAGAGAGUUGCAUUUAAUUAACAUGACCGGCAACACAAAAGUGUCGAACUUUGUUAAAUGCAAACUAACAUGCAGAGAGGAUGUAGACAUACUGUUGGUCAACUUUGUUGAAAAUCGUGAUCUUUCCCGCACCUCGACUCACAUAUAAAAAGUCCAUGUCGUCAAAUGCUGAUACGAAGAUAUGUUGAAAAGCGAAAACUCACCUAGCCUAUUGUGGCCUAUGGGUUUUGGUCAGUUUGCCUCUUUAGGGAUUGGAUUUUUUUAUAGAAAUAUUUUGGUUGAUCUAGAAACAUAGGAACCGAGUGGUCUUCGAUGCCGCUCCGGUCAAUCUUGUUGGUCUUGGCGAGGAGGCCGUGGCUUGGUGUCAUUCUAGUUUGAUGAGUGGGCAGGGCAUCGCUAGCCUGCCAUGUGAGCCGAGAGAGAACGAACAUGGUACACCUACUUGAAUGUAUUUUAGAAAUAAAAUCCAUACAAAAUAGUCUUGCUUUUUUUAUUCAGGACAGUAAAACUGAGCAUCCUGAGGCUUCUCACGCCAUCAGCCUUCUCGGCCGUCCGAUCAGGCCACUGGGCAAAAUCCGUCCGUCCAUGCAUAGGCUUUCGUCCUAUGGACAGCUGCUCCCGAAAAAAAUAAUCUAAGGCCUGUUGUUGAUCGGGCCUCGUGGGCUGCCUGUCCAAGCUGAAGCUGGGGGCCGACUGGGCCACUUGGAUGUCCGACUCUCCGCUUCCAUCGCAAUCGACCGCAUGGCGAGGAGCCGAGGAGGCCGGACCGCGUGCUCCGCCAUUGGUUACUGCUGCCCCCGGUGGGUUACUGGGGAGGCGUCGCCUCCAUGCCGCGGCGCAGCCGCCGUCUCCUCCCUGCCGCGAAACAGCCUGUCUCCUCACUGCGGCCCGCCGCCGUCGCCGAUGCCUCGGUUGCUGCUCCCGCCAUCGUCCGUGGUCGUGGAAAGCCCGCCGCUGCGGUGGCAAAGCGAGCGAACGACGCCCGACGACGUUGCCCAUGGAGAAGAGAGGCUCAGAGUUGGCCUGGCCCACGCCAGAGAUGAUGAAGGAUAUACACUUCGAGGGUGCGUACCGUCUUCCCGAACCCCCAAUAUUUGUUCGUGAUUUUACUAUUUUUGUGUCAGCUUCUAAUCACGAGGAGCAAUUUCGGCAGUAACAGAAUAGUGGCGAUGAAUUGUAUGCCUCAUGUUCCGAUCAACCUAGGGUUCUUCGUUUGUUACUGAUCUUUGAUGGUCAAAAGUAGCACAAUUCUGUGAUUUCUGUUAGUUCUGUCCUUAUUGGGGACGGGGGCGACGAGUCAUAAUAAUUUCCUUAUUUUGUUGGAGCGUCAGAGAGUAACGUGGUUACCGUCUCUUGAUCUGGAGACAGUAAUGGGGUCUCUUGAUUCUAUUCAGUGAUGUCCUGGGUUUGGUUUGCGUGAACUACAGUAAAAUUUCAAGGACAUAGGAGUUGGUUUGUCUCCCUCCGAUCCCAAUUUCUUGUCGUUGCUUUAGUUCAAAUUUUGUAUCAGAGGGAGUAGUGAUUAUAGCAACACAGCUACCUUGUAAAGGUGUCUAGAAAAACGAUGAAGUUUCUCUUUAGGUGAAAGAAGAUUGGCCCCAAAUUAUUUUGAACCUGAGAAGAUUAUCUAUGGUUAACCGGCAGCAACAUGACAUGUUCCACCUCCUCUUCGCCAUGCAAUUAACAAAUGUGUUGUUUGUAGGCAAACUCCUCUGCCCAAUGAAAUGGACACCACUGAUUUAGAUUUGAUCUCUUGUGUAAUUUUUUUUUGACCGGGGAUCUCUUGUAUCAUUCCUGUAAUGUUAUGCCUAAAAUUCGAACAAAUUAACUUAAAACUGAGGAAAUGUUCCCGAGCACCCACAAUGGGAGGCACUGUAUGUAUCAUUCAAAGUUCUCAGUGCCCUUCAUCCGGUACGAGAGGUGAGAAAUCAGUUGCAGACUUGCCCUCCACCUCCCUGAAUGGCGCUUGUCUCAUUGCAGGGUUUGUAACACUCUUUUGCUUAUCUGUAGAACAGUGCCACAUAUUUGCUUCCACCUUAUGCUGCUAUGUAGAGUUUUAUCUUUCGAUGAAGUAUAUUUCUGAUUCUCUCUUGGUAUGUGUGAGUUACAUGUAUCUUCUAAUUUACCUUUCCACAUUGUAUUCUCUAAUUAGCCUUUCAUUGAGACGAGGUACUGAAAGAAGACUGAAGACAAACAGACCAACCCACCAAAGAGUAAGAGUACGGAUGUAAUGAUAUUAUGAUAUGAAAAAGGACAAAUUCUCAAGUUGUGGUGAGAAAGAGGACCACGAAAGUUGUAUGAGGCCAUGAGCUGUGUGAUCUAAUUUAUAGUUGACGCAGGCAGCUUUGAAACAUUCUGUCUUUCUAUAAUUAUAAAAAUCUCUUUGUCUUUCAAUAUUGGCUUGGCACGAAGAAAAAUCCCACUUGGAGAUAUACGUGUGGACUGUCAUUGUUAUCCCUCUCUCGUCUGGCACUAAAAUUUGAACAGCUAAGAUUGUAUCAUAUAUAUGUUCCUGUUGUUAUCCAAGUCAAAAUCAUUUUUCCCUUGUAGAUUGACGAGAACAUCAUCGCGUGCCUUCUACCAGUUUUUUGAGGUAUCAUUAGAGUAGUUUCUGCACACUGAUCUGGUUUAACGGGUAUCAUUGAGAUGUGAUUUGAGGAUUUAAGAUGCAAUGGAAUUUUUGUGAACU